rnacentral:rRNA from 1 species
AGCGAACGCUGGCGGCGUGCUUAACACAUGCAAGUCGAGUGCGUAGCCCUUGUAGCAAUACAGAGGGUGGGCGCACGGCGCACGGGUGAGUAACACGUGGGUAACCUGCCCUUGGUGGGAAUAACCCGCGAAAGCGGGCUAAUUCCGCAUAACAUUCCGGGGACACAUGUUCUCGGACUCAAAGGAGUGAUUCGCCGGAGGAGGGGCCCGCGCCCGAUUAGCUUGUUGGUAGGGUAACGGCCUACCAAGGCUUUGAUCGGUAGCCGGUCUGAGAGGAUGGCCGGCCACACUGGAACUGAGACACGGUCCAGACU